rnacentral:antisense_RNA from 1 species
GCGAGCUGGGGUAGUAAGCGGCGCCAGUGUGCGAGUCUCUGUCGCGUCCGCGUCGUCCCAGCUCCUCGGACUACCAGUAUUGUGGCCCACGUGGGCUUCUCUUUGGUCCGUUCAGGCCUCACUUUUCUCCGUAAACACCCCGGCACGAUGGAGCGGCCCCAGUGUACGGGUCGGCCUGGGAGCGGAAAGCGGCAGUGUUCUGGGAGCCUCGAAAGCCGCAGGGGCGGCAGCUCGCCUCGGGAAGACCUUUGACUGAAGAAACAAAACGGGGCCUGGGACGCUUGCUCGAAAGAACCCGACAAAAACCAGAGCCUGCACUCACUCACGUACGGGGGAGGUGGACUUCGGGGAGGGUUAUCUGGAGGAGGAAUCUCUCAAAGUGCAACACAGGAGAAAGACAAUAUCGCAAUACAGAAAUUUUAUUAUUUUAUCUUAUUAUUAUUUUUUUGAGAGCGGAGUCUCGCUCUGUCGCCCAGGCUGGAGUGCAGUGGCGCGAUCUCGGCUCACUGCAAGCUCCGCCUCCCGGGUUCACGCCAUUCGGCUGCCUCAGCCUCCCGAGUAGCUGGGACUACAGGCGCCCGCCACCAUGCCCGGCUAAUUUGCAAUACAGAAAUUUUAAUAGCUGACGUCAAAAGGGGUUGUCUCCACAAAGGAUGCGGGCCUUCAGGGGCAGCAUUAUUCUGCAGGUCUGCUGCUUCCUGACGGCACAAGGACUCCACAUCACCCAGUCCUACCUUAAAUCCAAUCGGACACCAGUCCACAAACUGGUUGGUGUGCUUGCUCUUGAUGGUGGCGAGAGCCGCACUGACAUCUUUCAGGACCACAUCCCCUCUGUACAACAUGCAGCAGGCCAUGUACUUGCCGUGGUGAGGGUCACAUUUGACCAUCUGAUUGGGUGGCUCGAAGCGGGCACUGGCGAUCUCGGCCACGGACAGCUGCUCAUGGUAGACCUUCUUGGCUGAGAUGACCAGGGCAUAGGUGGCCAGGGGGAGGUGGAUGUGGGGGUACAGCACCAGGUUGGUUUGGAAUUCUGUCAAGUACACAUUCAGGGCCCCAACAAAUCACAGGGAGGCCGUGAUGGAGGACACGAUCUGCCCAGACGACUGAGGUUGGUGUACGUGGGACACUCGAUGUCCAGGUUGUGCCGACAUGUCAUAGGUGGCUUUGCUGUCGACCGUGAAGGCACAGUCAGAAUGUUCCAGGGACGUGUAGGUGGUCAGGAUGGAGUUGUAGGGCUCCGUCAUGGCCGUGGAGACCUGGGGGACUGGGUAAAUGGCAAACUUCAGCUUGGACUUCUUCCUGUAGUCCACCGAGAGCCGCUCCAUGAGCAGAGACACGAACCCAGAGCCAGUGCCGCCCCCAAAGCUGUGGAAGAUGAGGAAGCCCUGCAGUCCCAUGCACAGAUCCGCCUGAGAGAAACCGGACAACGUGAGCCAAUGCCCGUGGGAGCCACACCACCAACCUCCACCAAGCUGGGGCCACUUCUCUUUCUCUCUGAGAGUUGAUACGGAUUCAGACCAUCCAUAAUGAACACACAUCACACUUUGAAACAGAGAAAAGCAGACAAUAUAGAUCUAUGCACAAAUAACCAUGCACACUUCAUAGUAAGACGUAGCAGAGGUCUAGGAAGGCUGGUUUGAAGAAAUACACAGAAGAAAAAUGGAUGGACUAACCAGAGCGCUCAGCCAGCCUGCUGGACUGGCACCCGUGGCUAGACACUUUUGUUUAGCACCAUGGAGAGCUCCCUGUGCAGAAGCAAGGACUCAGGGCAUUGCCCCCUCUCUACCUGAGAACUAGACUCAGCGCCCAGCACUGGAUUUGAUAAUACCGGUACUCAAAUACAUGUGCUUUCCUCUUUACUCAGACACUUCUAGGGCUGGCAGGGUCAGACAGUAAUCCCCCACUUUGUGGGGAGGCCCUGUUUUUGCUGAACAGCUCAAGGGCAGGAAGGUUCUGUGUGACCCUUGCAGCUGUCCUAUGUGGUAGGUGCUACCAUUGCCAUGGAUCAAGUGGGGAGGCACAGAUACAAGCUCCUUCACCUCUCAAGGGAGUCGGGCCCUCCCACAGAUCUCCUCUUGGAGAAAAAAAAUGGCCUUGCUGGGCCUGUCGAUUUCCAGUCCCCACCCACCUCCCUCAUGUACAUGGGUCUGCUUGUGAAGCCUUCAUAACACCUUAGCUUCCAGGCCCUCCAUCCCAGCUGCCUCUCUGGCACUUGCCCUUUUACUGUGCAGGUCCAAAGAGACACCUGUAUUCAGUUUGUC